CUACAGGCUUAACACAUGCAAGUCGAGGGGCAGCAUGGUCUUAGCUUGCUAAGGCCGAUGGCGACCGGCGCACGGGUGAGUAACACGUAUCCAACCUGCCGUCUACUCUUGGACAGCCUUCUGAAAGGAAGAUUAAUACAAGAUGGCAUCAUGAGUCCGCAUGUUCACAUGAUUAAAGGUAUUCCGGUAGACGAUGGGGAUGCGUUCCAUUAGAUAGUAGGCGGGGUAACGGCCCACCUAGUCUUCGAUGGAUAGGGGUUCUGAGAGGAAGGUCCCCCACAUUGGAACUGAGACACGGUCCAAACUCCUACGGGAGGCAGCAGUGAGGAAUAUUGGUCAAUGGGCGAGAGCCUGAACCAGCCAAGUAGCGUGAAGGAUGACUGCCCUAUGGGUUGUAAACUUCUUUUAUAAAGGAAUAAAGUCGGGUAUGGAUACCCGUUUGCAUGUACUUUAUGAAUAAGGAUCGGCUAACUCCGUGCCAGCAGCCGCGGUAAUACGGAGGAUCCGAGCGUUAUCCGGAUUUAUUGGGUUUAAAGGGAGCGUAGAUGGAUGUUUAAGUCAGUUGUGAAAGUUUGCGGCUCAACCGUAAAAUUGCAGUUGAUACUGGAUAUCUUGAGUGCAGUUGAGGCAGGCGGAAUUCGUGGUGUAGCGGUGAAAUGCUUAGAUAUCACGAAGAACUCCGAUUGCGAAGGCAGCCUGCUAAGCUGCAACUGACAUUGAGGCUCGAAAGUGUGGGUAUCAAACAGGAUUAGAUACCCUGGUAGUCCACACGGUAAACGAUGAAUACUCGCUGUUUGCGAUAUACGGCAAGCGGCCAAGCGAAAGCGUUAAGUAUUCCACCUGGGGAGUACGCCGGCAACGGUGAAACUCAAAGGAAUUGACGGGGGCCCGCACAAGCGGAGGAACAUGUGGUUUAAUUCGAUGAUACGCGAGGAACCUUACCCGGGCUUAAAUUGCAGAUGAAUUACGGUGAAAGCCGUAAGCCGCAAGGCAUCUGUGAAGGUGCUGCAUGGUUGUCGUCAGCUCGUGCCGUGAGGUGUCGGCUUAAGUGCCAUAACGAGCGCAACCCUUGUUGUCAGUUACUAACAGGUUCCGCUGAGGACUCUGACAAGACUGCCAUCGUAAGAUGUGAGGAAGGUGGGGAUGACGUCAAAUCAGCACGGCCCUUACGUCCGGGGCUACACACGUGUUACAAUGGGGGGUACAGAGGGCCGCUACCACGCGAGUGGAUGCCAAUCCCCAAAACCUCUCUCAGUUCGGACUGGAGUCUGCAACCCGACUCCACGAAGCUGGAUUCGCUAGUAAUCGCGCAUCAGCCACGGCGCGGUGAAUACGUUCCCGGGCCUUGUACACACCGCCCGUCAAGCCAUGGGAGCCGGGGGUACCUGAAGUGCAUAACCGCGAGGAGCGCCCUAGGGUAAAACUGGUGACUGGGGCUAAGUCGU
rnacentral:rRNA from 1 species